GAAACUAACGAGUUAAUUGAUUCUUUUCAGAUUUGUGAUCUCGUGUAGAAAGUGUCAAAGCUCCAACAACUCAUUAAGAAGACCGAGGUGAUCAUUGUUUGGGAGUUGCUUGACGAGCAAGAAUCUGUGUGCGCAUAGAUUGAUUGAUCAACCUGCACAUUGAGUAUCUGAUACGUGAUGAACUACUUUUCUCAAUCUUGUGAAGAUUGUGACUGCCCUGUUGUGAUUACAAGAAGAGGACGUGUUGCGUUCUAGGACUUUGAGGAUUGUUCAAAGUAAGCAAAGUCUGUAGGAGAGGAGAUAUUUUGUUGUCGUUCUUUAUGUGUAUAUGCCUAUAUUUUUGUUAGAGGGUUAAAGAGUUGUUUUAUAUUUUGACGUGGAGGUCACUAUAAAAACCUUGUUGUAAAAACCCUAAUCAUUAUAGUGCAUUUGCUUCCUGGGAUUGGAAGGACACUAGAUUUAGGCAGUUUGGCCGAACUAGUAAAAAACCUACGUUUGAAUUCUCUA
rnacentral:lncRNA from 1 species